UACGUAGGGGGCAAGCGUUAUCCGGAUUUACUGGGUGUAAAGGGAGUGUAGGUGGUUAUGCAAGUCUGAUGUGAAAUCCAUGGGCUCAACCGAUGGACUGCAUUGGAAACUGCGUAACUGGAGUGCAGGAGAGGUAAGCGGAAUUCCUAGUGUAGCGGUGAAAUGCGUAGAUAUUAGGAAGAACACCGGCGGCGAAGGCGGCUUACUGGACUGUAACUGACACUGAGGCUCGAAAGCGUGGGGAGCAAAC
rnacentral:rRNA from 1 species